GGAACCUCCAAGCCCAGAUCUUGGCUCCCCUGUGUGCUCAAAUGUGGCAUCUGGCGUUCAGGGUCUUAUAGGUCAUUGGCUGAGGGACAACAAGGGCUGUGCUGUUAGCUCUAAAGCCAAUGACCCUGAUGAGAGAGACAGAGGAGGUGCUGCGGAGAGCAGCUGUACCGGGAGUGCUUAGACCUGCAGAAAGAACAACACGGGGCAGGCCCAAGCCCCAGGUGAGUUGAGGUGCAGCCUCAAGAUGGGCUGUGGGCAGAGCCAGGAGGCUGUCACAGAGGAAGAUCCUGAAAUGGGCUGAGAUGGUAAAUCUGCUCCUUUCAUCCUUAGGAAGCCAGGCGAAGUGGGCAAAAAUUGCUCCCACCUUCCAGAAGAACUUUCAAAAAGAAUAAGAAGGUGGAUUCCACAAGCACAAGCCUAGAGGCUGAAAGCCAAGAGUGGGGUUUCUGGGGUGGACUACUGCUGACUGGCCUCAGCUCCCAGAGAAGACGCAGGGCUCCACACCAGAACAAGUGAUGUCAGACAGCCUUAUUUUGUUCUUUGAUCAGUUACCGGCUUGAAGAUUACAUUCAAUGCAACAAACUCUAUGGAGACCUGACUGAGGCAGGCCCUGAAGUAAGUUUAGAGGGGAGACACACAUAAACGCUCCUGGCAGUGGGGCAGGAUCCGGACCUGGGAGUCGGUGUAAGGUUGCCAGGGAACGGUGUGGAGAUCUGGGAGCUUACUCUAAGAUGGGUUCUAAGCAUGAAGAGAAGUCUGGUAGGCAGGUUGGGCCAUCCCAUGAACAGCAUGCAGAGACUCAGAAACCGUACAGAACAUUUACAGAACUAAAGGUUGUUCCAUUCCUCUAGAAUGAAAGGCAAGCUGGGGUGGAAGGAGAUAAGGCUGGGGAAGCAGCCCGGGGCAAGAUCGUCAGGGGUCUUAUGUGCCUGCCCCCUCUUAAGGGUUGAAUGGGUACCCCCUCUUCAUUCACAUGUUGAAGCCGUAACCCCUAGUACCUCAGAAUGUGGUCUUACUUGGAAAGAAAGCGGUUGCAGAUGUCAUUAGUUAAGAUGAGGUCCUUAUAUGACUGGGGCCCUUAUAAAAAAGGGAAAUCUAGACCCAGACAUGUGCAUAGAGAGGACGCCAUGUGCAGAUGAAGGCAGAGCAGGGUGAUGCUACUGUAAGCCAUGGAUGCCAAGGAUUGCCAGCCGCCACCAGGAGCCAGAGGGAGGCGUGGGACAGAUUCUCACUCCCAGCCCCCAGAGGGAAGCAACCGUGCCCAACCUUGAUCUCAGGUUCCAGCCCCCAGCACUGUGAGACAAUACACUUCUCUAGUUUGUGCUAGCCAGUCUGUGGCAUUUUGUUAUGGUAGUCCUAGCAAACUAAUCCACCAGCCUAAGGGGCGUGGGCUUUCUCCUGAGGGACACAGGGAACCAGGAAAGGUGGAAGUCGGGGAGUGGCAUGAAAGAUUUUGGAACAAUCACGGUAUGGUGGGGGAGGGGAGACUGCAGAGGGCAGGGAGCUGGGCAAGGUCCAGACAUAACAAAGGCUGAACGAUGAAGAUGAAGAAGGGGGCUGUUUCAACUAAUCAGGAAUUGGCGAUGGGUUGUGAAUCAGG
rnacentral:lncRNA from 1 species